rnacentral:rRNA from 1 species
UAGGAAGGCAGCAGUGGGGAAUAUUGCACAAUGGGCGCAAGCCUGAUGCAGCCAUGCCGCGUGUAUGAAGAAGGCCUUCGGGUUGUAAAGUACUUUCAGUCGUGAGGAAGGUGUUAAGGUUAAUAACCUUAGCAAUUGACGUUAGCGACAGAAGAAGCACCGGCUAACUCCGUGCCAGCAGCCGCGGUAAUACGGAGGGUGCGAGCGUUAAUCGGAAUUACUGGGCGUAAAGGGCACGCAGGCGGUUAAUUAAGUUGGAUGUGAAAUCCCCGGGCUUAACCUGGGAAUGGCAUUCAAGACUGGUUAGCUAGAGUCUUGUAGAGGGGGUAGAAUUCCAUGUGUAGCGGUGAAAUGCGUAGAGAUGUGGAGGAAUACCGGUGGCGAAGGCGGCCCCUGGACAAAGACUGACGCUCAUGUGCGAAAGCGUGGGGAGCAAACAGGAUUAGAUACC